ACGCUCGACACCUACGGGAGGUAGCAGUUGGGAAUAUUGGACAAUGGAGGAAACUCUGAUCCAGUGACGCCGCGUGAAGGAAGAAGGUCUUCGGAUUGUAAACUUAUUUUGUCAGGGAAGAAAAAUGACUGUACCUGAAGAAAAAGCACCGGCUAACUACGUGCCNGCAGCCGACGGUAAUCUGAGCGGGCUGGCAAGGC
rnacentral:rRNA from 1 species